rnacentral:lncRNA from 1 species
AGGCUACUCAUAUGUAUUAUCGAAACUUCUUGUUGGAAUUAGUAAUUAGCGGGAUUCUAUCUUUUUGGAGUAUUUAAAUUGGUCACUCUAGAAACACUUCUGUCUUUCUUGAACCCCUCACAUCUUGACUUCGCGUAUUAGUCGGAAUACUAGUUUAUAUUCGCCUACUUGUUUAUAUCUUCCAACUAGUUAUAUUAUCUUUCUAUUUUUUUCUUAUUUGAGCGAGUUUAUCCAUAUUUUUUAUUUUUAGUUUUGACAUUAAUAUAUGUUCUAAUAUUAUGAUAUAUUUAAACACAAUAUAUAUAACCUUAUGUUUUUAUUUUAAUUAAUAUGGAGAUAUCCAAGAUCUCUGAAAAUGCUCAGACUAAUCUUUAAGGGAAUGUGCAAUCUACAGAUGAACCCUCUCUUCCAGUAUUCAAAUGAGACUUAAAAUAUAGUUUAUAUCCGCGUGACCACACAUGUUUAGUGUCGUGAAAUUGCUUCGAGCCUUAGUCGCUUAGUUCACUGGAAUUCGCCUACCACUAAACUAUCCAUGUGUGGCAACUUAUAUCUUUUCCUUUAUGUACAUUUUUUUUAUUUUCAUCAAAUAUAACAACUUUUAGAAAAACUGGUAGAUUAUUCUUAGAGCAUUUUCAUCAUGAAUAUGUAAGUGAAUAUCUCAUAGUAAAAAUAUGAAAUGGGGUUCUCAAAUGAGAAAUCUAUUAGUAAAUCUAAUGCUAUUUAUCCAC